GGCGCAUAAUGCCUUACGUGUAUAGACGAUCUCCGUACGAGUCCAUAGUAUGUGCGUGGAAGAAAAGCCGACCUCCCACUGGCUGCCGUGACCGAGCUACAGGGCGACACUUUCUGUUUCCGUGACUGACUGCCGUGUCCGAAAUAGUCGCUUUAGCUUUCAGCGUUAUCGCGGUCCACUUGCACUCGUUUAUGGUUACAUUUGUGCAAUUUGUGAACCCUAGCUGCUGGCCUUUUGAGGCUGGUCGGCAAGCAGAGCCGCGACGGAGCCAGCGACUCGGUACAGUAACGUUAGCAAACAAGCUAAUUAGCCACAAAGACUCAUCCUGGAUUACUGUCUUGACAACAGAACAGCGCUCAGGUUUUUGAGGUUAACGUGCAGAACGGGAAAAUGAAGAUAACUGUGGAUUUCGAGGAAUGUUUGAAGGACUCCCCACGGUUCAGAGCUACCAUAGAGGAAGUGGAGGGGGACGUAUGUGAACUGGAAUCCAAGCUUGACAAACUGGUGAAGUUGUGCAUCGGGAUGAUAGAUGCUGGGAAAGCUUACAAUGCUGCCAACAAACAGUUUGUCAACGGGAUCCGGGAGCUUGCCCUGCAGUCUACCAAAGAUGAGGUCAUUGAGUCUAGUCUCUCAAAGUUUGCAGAAAGCCUUCAGGAGAUGAUCAACUAUCACACGAUAUUAUUUGAUCAGGCCCAGAGAUCAAUCAAGACCCAGCUUCAAACAUUUGUUAAAGAUGACCUACGUAAGUUUAAAGAAGCCAAGAAGCAAUUUGACAAGGUGAGUGAAGAAAAGGAUGCAGCACUGAUCAAGAAUGCCCAGGCUCCCCGCAACAAGCAGCAUGAAGUGGAAGAGGCUACCAACAUCCUUACUGCCACACGCAAGUGCUUCCGACACAUCGUCCUCGACUACGUUUUGCAGAUUAAUGUGCUACAGUCCAAGAGAAGAUCGGAAAUCCUAAAAUCUAUGCUGUCCUUUAUGUAUGCCCACCUGACCUUUUUCCACCAAGGCUAUGACCUCUUCAGUGAAUUACAGCCGCUAAUGAAACAGCUCGGAGGACAGUUGGACCAGCUGGUGGUGGAUGCUGCCAAAGAGAAGCGGGAAAUGGAGCAAAAACACUCCACCAUCCAGCAAAAGGCUGCUUUGCAGGAAGUGACGGAGUUCGACUCAGACCACCGAAACUUUUGUGCUUGGAGGUCAUCCUCCGACUUCUCAAAUGACGACACCAAGUUGGAAUACAACGUGGAUGCAGAUAAUGGCAUCGCCAUGGAGGGUUAUCUUUUUAAGAGGGCCAGCAAUGCCUUCAAGACAUGGAAUAGACGGUGGUUCUCCAUCCAAAAUAAUCAGCUCGUUUACCAGAAGAAAUUAAAGGACAACCUGACAGUUGUUGUGGAAGACCUGAGACUGUGCACUGUCAAGCACUGUGAAGAUUUAGAGCGACGUUUUUGUUUUGAGGUGGUGUCACCCACCAAGAGCUGCAUGAUGCAAGCAGAUUCUGAGAAGCUGCGACAGGCGUGGAUCAAAGCAGUCCAGAACAGCAUCGCCACUGCCUUCCGUGAGAAGGGAGAUGACGCUGAGAAGCUGGAGAGGAAGUCUUCCACAUCAACAGGGAGCUUAGACUCUGGUGGGGAGCCCAAGGAGAGAUCACUGAAGGGGGAGAGUGCCCUGCAGAAAGUCAUCGCCAUCCCGGGCAACGCUUGUUGCUGUGACUGCGGCCAGCCAGAUCCACGCUGGGCCAGCAUCAAUCUAGGCAUAACUCUUUGUAUCCAGUGCUCUGGAAUUCACAGGAGUCUGGGAGUUCAUUUCUCAAAGGUCCGGUCCCUGACUUUAGAUUCAUGGGAGCCAGAACUGCUUAAGCUUAUGUGUGAACUUGGAAAUGGAGUUAUUAACCAGAUAUAUGAGGCUCGGCGAGAGGAGCUGGGAGCGAGAAAACCACAGCCAGGAGACCCAAGACAUGAAGUAGAGGCUUACAUCAAAGCCAAGUACGUGGAUCGCAGGUUUGUGCGCAGGCCAUCUGACGAGGAGCUUCGGAGCAAGGUGGUGUCCCUCAGUAAACAGGAGAAGAGACUUAGCAACAGCUCCGAGCACCUUCCUCCAAGACCACCACCGCCCACCCCAAAACUUCGACCUGGUUCCAACACCUCUGGACAGUCAGCUGUUGCCAGUGGCUCGGAGGCCAGGCGGGACUCUCUCUUCUGUCCUGAUGAGCUUCACUCACUCUUCUCCUACUUUGACAACUCCUCCAAGCUCAGGAGCAUCAAAAGUGCAGACAGUGGCAUCCAGCAUAGCGCUGAUGGCAGCAGGGAAAUGCUGGUCACCACCCCCUCUAAUAGUAGUUUGGCAGAGGCAGAUAUUGCUGAGACUCCGCCCAUGCCAACCACCCUGCCUCCACCAUCGCCUUGUAAGGAGAUGGUGUUCUACGAGCCAAAGGAGUACAGUUCAGGCCUUCAGCUCUACUGGGCUUCAUGUGCUCGCAGCCUGCCUGACAUGGCUGAGGCCUUGGCCCACGGAGCCCAAGUCAACUGGGUCAACACGGAAGAUGAUAAGAGGACGCCACUCAUCAUGGCCGUGCGGGGGGGUUCACUGGUGACCUGCGAGUUUCUGCUCCAAAAUGCAGCCAAUGUGAAUCAGCAGGAUGCUCAAGGUCGAGGACCUCUGCACCAUGCCACCAUGCUGGGACGCACAGGGCAAGUGUGUUUAUUUUUGAAAAGAGGAGCCAAUCAGAAUGCUGCAGACAUUGAGGAAAAAACACCGCUGGCCAUCGCGGUGGAAGCAGCCAAUGCAGACAUUGUUACAUUGCUGCGACUGGCCAAGAUGAACGAGGAGAUGCGCGAGGCCGAGGGGCCCUACAGCCAGUCAGGUCAAUAUAACGCGAACAGCCCCACUGAGAUGCAGUACAGAAAGUGUAUGCAGGAGUUUAUCAGUCUGCAGCUGGAUGACACUUAAUGUCCUGUACAUUGGUGUCACAUAAACAGGCUCUGCGGAAAAAUACAGGGGCCUGUUUUCUGGUUAUCAUAAAUUACUGGAAUCUUUUCCAGGUGCUUCUUACAAAUUGGAAGAGUCUUUCUUUUUAAGGCACUUCCAGUUCAGUGGAAAAUGAUCUGAUGUCAACGACCAGCAGCACCCUGGCAUGCUACAAUGUUGGGUGCAGUGCUAACGUGACUGCAGUAUUCAGUUUCCAGAUAGAAAAGUCAACAUUGUGCUAAAAUAUUUACUGAUGACACACAAUGAAAAGCUGCUUGAGAACAUUAGAUAGAUGCUGUAUCCUCCCUUUAAAUUCAGAGACCACACUUGCUGAUUUCUAUUGGUUGAACACAAUAGGGGUUGAAAUACACUACUGUAUUAAAUUACAUUUGUCUCAACCACAAUAUUGGAAAUUCUCAACUCAGUGUGAGGGCACAUUAUCCCUGUUUGGGAAUGCAUAUUUCUUUCAAAUAAAUGUCAAGUUCAGGGGUGUCAAACUCAGUUUUGUCGCGGGUUAUCACGGUUUUCCUCAGAGGGCCGUUGUGAACCCAUAUAAACGCCUCUUUGUACUAUUACAUAUACACAACAAAUUGAUAGAUAACUACUUUUUUAACAAGUUGUAAAUCAGAAGUCAAGGACAAGACUUCAAGUUACUGGUUAAAGGUGUUUUGUAACAAAAAACUGCUUGCAAUAUCUCAAUGUUUUUAUUUAUUGUAUAUGAUAAUUUGAUUUUAGCAAGAAUCAUGGAAGUUGAUGCACAUGCUUUGCUUUUGGGCAACAUAAAAUUAUGUGAUGGGCCGGAUGUGGCCGUUGGGCCAUGAGUUUGACACCUGUGACGCCUAGUUUAUUGUGUAAUUAUACUAUAUACUAGGAUGUUAUUUUUUUCCCAAGUGUGAAUUUACCCAAUUUUCUGUUAGUGUUAGUUAGUGUCAGUGAAUUGUCUCUCUUAAACUUUCAGUGCCACUUUGUUGUUGAAUGUUUAAACAUGAAACAUCUUGCUGUUAUAAUGUUGUUUUGCAACAAUCUUGAGGUAUUAUUUUGUUCUCAGAGAAUUCUGUAGUGCAUUGGCCUAAAAUACAAAAUGCAAAAAUCUUUUAUGCUCGGGACUGGACAGAAAGAAAAGCCGAUUUGACUGAAGUUUCACCGAUAAUUAACGAUCUUAUGACAGUGUCAAAAGCCUGGAGGAUUUGUGUAUCGUAAUCCAAUGUUAUGGCAGGAAAUCCAGAAUUGUAAGAAAUGACUGAUGGUCGUGAAUGUUUUUGGGUUCUUAAUGCAAAUCAGCAUAGUACAUGCUCUGGCAAUAGUCUCGAUAAUUAGCUUUUGAUGUUGAAAAGAUGGUGUCAUUAGAAGAGGAGGCUGUCAUAUUGUGUAGAUAGUGACUGAGUUCUGAAAACAGCACAUUUUCAACUCGUGUUCCUGCUCCAUGCAGCCCCAAAUAUUUGGACAGUCCACAAGCACUUUGAUUAAAGGAGCAGUGUGUUGGACGAUGUAGUGGCCCUCAGUCACUCACACAUGGGCUUACUUUUCUCAAAACCCUUUUUCUCAAAACAACACGUGUGAACACUCAGUUAACCCUCACAAUCUUUUAAAUGUACUUUCAGGGGGUUCUCGGUUGACGACGGUCUCGUCGACGUACAUGGUUUCGAGAGUUACAGACGGCGUGUAAGAAUGCGUCGUCGCUCAGCACAAGAAGGCAGCCUCGGUUAUUGAUUUGUAUUCAUUUCUAGAGCGCCUGCCCUUAUAAGGGUCCCAGCUGAUUUUGGGCGAAAAGGCAGACGACAUAACAAAUAUAUGUGGCAAUUAGGAUUUUAUUACUGCGUGUGUAAUAGACUACGGCGUGUUCUGACCCACAAAAGUUAUGUCGCCACCGUAUGAAUGGAACUGUCGUAAAUGUAGUCCCCCCCCAAACAUACACACUGCCCCUUAAAAUGAUUAUUACGCUGCAGCCCCCUCUGGUGCGUCGUAGGGAUCUGCUGGACUGUUAAAUGCCUUGGCACACUGCUUUUUUUUCUUUUUUUUUUUUUUUUUUUUUUUUUUCCCCCCUCAAGAACCAAUCAUGCCACUUUUGGAAUAAUGAGUGUUUGGACCUAUGCCAAGAUGGAAAAGAAGCGUUUUCUUGAUGUGGGCUGUUAAAAGGGGGAUGAAACCGAUGAUUGCUGACUGUGGAUGCGUGCAUGCCUCAAGAGCAUUCGGCAAUCAUGGAGAGAUGAACACAAACAAGUGAUUUGAUGCCAACAUCAUCAGUUUCGUAUUUGCUCUCCAGUAGGCGAGGGCCUCUUCAUCAGUCAGCCAAUCAGAUGAUGAAUGACGCCGCUGAUGCACGACAAGCCACCUCAUCGCUUCAUUUUUUUAUUUUUUUUUCAAUUACGCUUACAAUCAACAAAUUGGAACCUGAUGAAGUGUAGUCUGAUUACAACUGCACCAAUUGUAGCUUUUUAAAAAGAUUAUUUUUAUGAGUGGUGAAUUGAGAGCUUUGGGUUGUUUCAGCUGGUGUAAAUUCCCACUUGAGAGUUUGUGCCUUUCUUGUUUGCUUCUUUCUUGACCCAUCUGUAUUUGUUGUUUAUACAAGGCUGCACUUUAAACACAAUACAGUUGCUAACAACAAGCUAACUACUUGUGUGCGCGUGAGUGUCUUCUUGCUGCUUCUGCUCCAUCUUUUUGUCUCUCUGGGCCUCGUUUCUUUUUAUGUCCAGCCACGCCGGCGCUCUGACAGGAGAUGAAACCUACCAGGACAUUUUCCAGGACUUCACACACAUGGCCUCCAACGACCCGGACAAGCUGAAUCGCUACAAGCAGUACGACCCCCAGAGACCCUGAUGAUGACCACUUCUGUGGCUCUAGCUGUUAAUUCUCAAUAUAUGACUUCAAAUUGUACUCUUUUGACUUGGAGAUGCCUGCUUGUAAACACAGGCUGUGCAUUAAAGUGAAGGAAUGCUGAUUGAUGACGAGCUUCAGUCAAAGUGAAAGGUACGCUGUUGAAGCCAGUUCAUCUCCUUCGUGUCACAUAGAAACACUCAAUUGUUCAUUGAUUUGAGGACUUAUUUGGACUUUUUAAAAAAAAAAAAUUUAUUCAACCUUUUACUUUAAUUUGCACAAAUUUGUCUUCCAUGACCACCAGUGUUUACCUCAAGGUAAGGUAUGUGUGUAUGUACAGUUAUGUGCAUGAUAUAUUCCCAUAUUCCGUGUGGUGGUGAAUGCCAACGACGCAAUCAGUCGACCGUGUGAUGAUGGAUGAAAAUAGGAUCAGGCUUCUUGACAUAUUUGUUCAUUUUGAACACUUGUAAAGAACCUUUAUUAGCCUAUACGCACAUCCUCUUUAUUUUUAGUCUGUUAAUUUGCGAUAAUGUAAGCGAUUUUAUCAUUGUCAAAGUUUCAAUAGAAUUUUCUGUAGUUUUAAAUUGUGAAUUGGCCUGACAUUUGGUUCAUUUUGUCAUUUUUUUUUCUUUUUUUUGUAUUUGAUCUGUUGAAGAGGACUAUUCCGUACACCUUUAACUGUUUAGCAUUGCAACAUGAAGUCUGACUAGAAAAAUGGAAGAAAAACUUCUUUCUUCUUUGAGACACAGUAUUGAAAGUCAAGUCAUCAUUACCUUUUUUUUUUUACAAGUUUCCUUCCAUCAAGUGAGUGAAUGAUCACGUCCUUGUCAUGUUCAAUGUUAUUUCAUGUAAAAUGAAAAGACAAGUUGGGAUUAAAAAAAAUAUAUAUAAAUGUUAAAAUUGUUCACUGGUACUUGAAUGAUACUUGUUUAUUCUCUCUCCCUUUUACUCAUGUAGCCCUUUUUAUAUUGUUACAUGUACUGUGCUGUAUAUUAUUAGUAUUAUUAUAGCUGAAUUUCAAUACACAAUCUGAUGGGUCAA